CCUACGGGUGGCAGCAGUGGGGAAUAUUGCGCAAUGGGCGAAAGCCUGACGCAGCGACGCCGCGUGAGGGAUGAAGGUCUUCGGAUCGUAAACCUCUGUCCGCAGGGAAGAACGGUCACUGUGCUAAUCAGCAGUGAAUUGACGGUACCUGCAAAGGCAGCACCGGCUAACUCCGUGCCAGCAGCCGCGGUAAUACGGAGGGUGCGAGCGUUAAUCGGAAUUACUGGGCGUAAAGCGCUCGUAGGCGGUAGGUCAAGUCAAGGGUGAAAUCCCCGCGCUCAACGUGGGAACUGCCUUUGAAACUGGGAAACUGGAGUGUGUGAGAGGAUAGUGGAAUUCCAGGUGUAGGAGUGAAAUCCGUAGAGAUCGGGAGGAAAAUCAGUGGCGAAGGCGAUUAGCUGGAACAUAACUGACGCUGAGGAGCGAAAGCGUGGGUAGCAAACAGGAUUAGAUACCCUUGUAGUC
rnacentral:rRNA from 1 species